rnacentral:lncRNA from 1 species
GGUGUCUCAACAGCAAAGAGGUUUACGAGGUUUUAAGCCACCGCGGGUGGCUAGAUUUCUUCCCACUUUUUGCAACAGUUCAUGAGAUCUGCAUUGGCACUCUUCCUCCAUCAGCCAUAGUUGAACAUAGUGAGCGCACGCCUAAAAUCUAGCCGGCUCUUCCCACGGCCCGCUUAUCAUGGGUAGGGGGUAGUUUACUUAAGUGAUGUCUUUCACACAAUAGCGAAGACGAGGCGAAACUUUGGAAUACGGUUGCAGGGCAAAGUACGUAACCUGCUCAGAAGCUAUUUUCCUUGACAGCAAAUGAAGUCCAACGUUUCUCUUUAGUUUCUGUUACAUCUUUUUCGUUCUUUCGAAUUGUACCCAUGUUUGAUGCACAAUGUGUGAUGUGAGGUUCUAAAAGGCGUUAGGCGCUAGUCGGGCGGCGGGAUGGGGCCUAGCGCCUAGGCGGACUAGGCGGAUUUAAGUAAAUCUAUUUUAUUUCGUGUAAAUAAGUGUCUGUUUAUACUUAAAAUAUACAUAAUUUCGUCAUAAACUAGAAAAUAGAAUGACAUAUAUAUAUUAUGAAGUAUUGAAACAUAAUGAAAACAUAGGGAGCAAACAUAUAAUGUGUGUUUAUUUAAGUAUUCAAUAAGUUUCUUACAAUUUAUUGGAAACAAUAAAAUGCAAAAGGAAAGUUAUCUAUUUUUUAUCUAAGUGAGUUGCAACCUAGGCAGGUAUCUAGGCGGGUUUGGGUGGUCUAGGUGGGUGCCUAGGCGGUCUAGGCGGGCUAGGCAGAUGCCUAGGCGGUUUAGGCGGGCUAGGCAGAUGCCUAGGCGGUCUAGGCAUUAAUCGGGACGGUGACUAGCCGCCUAGCGCCUAGGCGGGGAUUUUUAGAACAGUUAUUGUGUGAUCAUCACCGAGUUGUAAACUUCUUUAGAGAAUACACACGUAAUAGAAUAAAGAGCUAGAACGAACCACUUCCGGUGUCACAGUUUGAGAACGAGAGAUCGAAGUCUCGAUUGCAAUUGAUUUUGUUUCUCGAACUGGUUCAGAAAGUAGACCAUCGCGGUUUCGUUAUUUAACACCAAACCCUUUCUCAUUUCUUGAAAUAGAAGUUAUACAACUGCCACAAACCCAAAUUACACAGCAAGAAUACCAUAAAUUAGAAGGAAAAAAAAAAACAAACGACCCAAAUAAUCUUCCCACAACACCAAACCCCGGCUUUGAAUUUUGCGUAUGGUUUUAUUCCAACAGUUACUCAGUUCGUAGUCUAUCCAACCGAUCCACACUCUUCUGCGCUCUGUCCAUUUGGUGGUCGAUACUUUUUCUAGACUUCUCAUGGCAGUCCACGCUUCUCCGAGACCUUUCCAUAUGGUCGAAAGAUACUCUUAAUUUUUCUAGUUUAUCAGCACUGAUGAACUGAUUUUUCAGUUUUUCAGGCCUAUCAGUGCUCUUCCUCGGUUUCUCCCUUCGAUCUGUGCUCUUCCUUGAAACUUCGUAAACAUCAGUACUCUUCCGAGGCUGCUCGAACUGGUCCGUGCUUCUCCUAGAACUGUAUCUCUGGGAAGGAGACUUCUCAACGGUUGAUAUGAACUUCUUGAGACGCCUGAUAUACUCAGGAUAGAGCUCUAAAUCACAGUGGUUCCCUCCUUUAAGCCAUAGUGGUUCAUACUUCUCUUUACACAGUUCCCAGAGUUGCUUGCCAUGGGAGCAAUCGACUAGUACUUCAUCCGCAGUCCCCUACAAGAUGAUGCAAUGGCUAAAAAAUGUGAGGAGUAGGCCGAGUUGGUAUCUCAUAUAGUCAUCAUAUAUAUAAUCUUUCGACAUAGCGUGCCAGAUGAUGAUCAAACAAAACCCUUAUUCUUACCAGUAUGUACGCUUUACAGGAUACAUGACUCUUAAACCAGAUAGUAUGGGACUACGCAGGACAACAUAUAUUUUGUAAGGAAAACUAACGAAAAGUCUAAAAAAACUUCUCUUUUAACGAAAAGUCAUUUUUAAAGGUAUAGUGAAUAAUGACAGUUAAAGGUAAAAAAGUGAUUUUUCGUUAAAAAUGAACCGUACCGGAAGUGUUUUAUUAAAACUCUUUUUUUUGUAAGAUGUUUUGAUUGGACAGGAGAGAGAUGAAAAACAUAAAAGGUGUAGUAUAUGGUAGUAAUUUUAAUUUAUUAGAUCAUAGAGGAGAUCGCCAUAUUUGUCUUGGAGUUCAAUACAAUUUAGGCAUCGUUUGUGACGAAACGUGUAUGGCAUAUCCGCCCCGACGGGUGUCUUCCCUCUUAUAUUCUCUGUCUCCUCUCCUUCUCUCUCGCUCCUCCUAUACCUUUUCCUCUAUCAUCUACGCGUUGCCCUUUUGCCCUCCUCUCUUUCUCUCUCCUUUCCUCUCUCUCUCCUCUUCAUCCAUGGCUCCAGAACUCCAACAGGAGGAAGAUUACACUACUGGCCCUGAAGCUCCUCACAAAACCAGAGUCACCGUCGUCGGCAGUGGCAACUGGGGUAGUGUUGCCGCCAAACUCAUUGCCUCCAACACCCUCGGGCUCUCUUCCUUCCACGGUAUUAUUUGUUUCCUGUUUGUUUUCUGCAUUUCCAUUUUCUUUCUGCAUGCAAAGACAGAAUCUUUAUGUGUGCCAGCCAACGGUCAGAAUUUUUGUUUAUGUCCCUUAUAUUAUUCUCUAAUUUUAUGUUUGGUUGCUGAGAAAGUGAACAUAUUGUUCGUUUUGUUCCUAAAUAAUGCCAAAUUAAUUGAAUUUUCUUGUUUGAUUCUGGGAUUUUAUUCUGUUCGGUGUUUAAUGAAUGAAAAAUCUGGAAACCCAAUUGUAAUUUAAGUUUUUAAUGAAAACCCAUUUGCAAUUUGAGUAUUUUUUUUUUCUGCAUUGGAAUUCAGAUGAAGUGAGAAUGUGGGUGUUUGAGGAAACAUUACCAAGUGGUGAGAAGCUCACAGAUGCCAUCAACCGCAACAAUGUAAAAAAGCAACGAUCUUUAAUGCACUCUUCUUAUAUGUGCAUGAAUUUAUCCUGUUGUAAACGUUUGUAUCAUGUUUUUCGAUAGGAAAAUGUGAAAUACCUGCCCGGCAUUAAGCUGGGGAAAAAUGUUGUUGCAGACCCAGACCUUGAGAAUGCAGGUACUUAAUUUCUCAGCAAAAUAUUUGGUCAACUUUUUAAAGUUACUAUGUUUUGAAUUUGUGCAAUUUGUUGGGUGCUUGGAGCAAAUUUUUUAUAGUUGGGGGAGUUUUGCAGUGAACGGUGCGAACAUGUUGGUAUUUGUUACUCCACAUCAAUUUAUGGAGGGUAUAUGCGGGAGGCUUGUUGGGAAGGUAAAAGCGGAUGUGGAGGCAAUUUCCCUCAUCAAAGGAAUGGAGGUCAAGAUGGAAGGCCCGUGCAUGAUCUCGACACUCAUCUCACAGCAGUUGGGUAUUAAUUGUUGUGUUCUGAUGGGAGCAAACAUAGCUAAUGAGGUAAUUUAGCUUGACUCGUCACUCCACAACUUUCGUUUCCCAGAUCAUAUCACGUCUGGUGUGGCUGAAACUAGAAUCUGUUUGUGUAGAUUGCUGUGGAGAAAUUUAGCGAAGCCACGGUUGGAUACAGAGAGAACAAAGAGAUUGCACAGAAAUGGGUUGAGCUCUUUAGUACUUCCUACUUCAUAGUCACACCUGUGAGUACAUCGAAUACAUUGUUACAAUGAAUGUCAUAAUAGUACUUUUAGUCUUUUACUAUCAUGAAUGUUUGGCACGGACAGGAACUACUUUAGUUUCCCACACAUUUAGUAAAAAUUUGGUAGUACGUUAGCUACGCUAAAUACUUAUCCCUGUGUAUAAUUUGAUUUAGCGAUUGACAUCAAAUUUAUAUUGGAAUGCUCCAUUGACACCUUUCCGUGUUUGAAAUUUAUAGAUCCAAGAUGUGGAAGGGGUAGAACUAUGUGGAACCCUGAAAAAUGUUGUGGCCAUAGCAGCAGGUUUUGUGGAUGGGUUGGAGAUGGGAAAUAACACAAAGGUAAGCUCAAAAAUUUUGGUAAAAGUUGAACCCACAUCUCAUCUGCUUUUUCUAUGUCAUUUUGACUGCUUAUUUUGAAUGACCAGGCUGCAAUUAUGAGAAUCGGUCUAAGAGAGAUGAAGGCAUUUUCCAAGAUGUUAUUUUCAUCUGUCAAGGACACCACCUUCUUUGAAAGCUGCGGUGUUGCUGAUCUCAUCACGACAUGCCGUAUGGAAGCAUGACGAUCUCUUAUUUUCAUUUUUUUUGUUUUUUCUUUCUUUCUUACCUCUGUGUGUUUGGCAGUGGGAGGAAGAAACAGGAAAGUUGCGGAAGCUUUUGCAAGGAGUGGAGGGAAAAGGUAAAUCUCCGCAAUUUGGUGCAUACAACCUUGUAAAAAACUGGGGUAGUUUCUUACUAUUGCCAUUAUGUUUGUUGUCUGCAGAUCGUUCGAUGAGCUUGAAGCAGAAAUGCUGCAGGGUCAAAAAUUACAGGUAUGCAUUUAAAACAAUAGGCUUUAUAGCAACUGAACUUUGCUAUUACUCGGAUUUUUAUAUUGCAUUAAUAUGCAGCCUGAUCAAUUAAAAUGGAAAAUGAGUUCUGUAAGGAUGCAGCCCGAAACUAUCUAUUCAUAAAUGUUCUCGUUCCUUUUCUGAAGGGUGUCUCAACAGCAAAAGAGGUUUACGAGGUUCUAAGCCACCGCGGGUGGCUAGAUUUCUUCCCACUUUUUGCAACAGUUCAUGAGAUCUGCAUUGGCACUCUUCCUCCAUCAGCCAUAGUUGAACACAGUGAGCGCACGCCUAAAAUCUAGCCGGCUCUUCCCACUGCCCGCUUAUCAUGGAUAGGCGGUAGUUUACUUAAGCGAUGUCUUUCACACAAUAGCGAAGACGAGGCGAAACUUUGGAAUGUUGGUUCACACAGAAGCCAGCACUUUGCAACAAUAUACGGUUGCAGGGACAAAGUACGUAACCUGCUCAGAAGCUAUUUUCCUUGACAGCAAAUGAUGUCCAACGUUUCUCUUCGGUUUCUGUUACAUCUUUUUUGUUCUUUCAAAUUGUACCCAUGUUUGAUGCACAAUGUGUAAUCAACACCAAGUUGUAAACUUCUUUAGAGAAUACACAAGUAAUAGAAUAAAGAGUUAGAACGAACCAUUUCUU